UGAUCCAUCUUCUCGAAAAUUAUUUCCCACUUGCUAAACUAAUCUUAAAGUUCUAAACACCAAUUUUCUCUUAUUGCAGCGUCUCCGCAGUAGAUUCCACAUUUUGACAUGGUGCUUUGUCGGAUUUUUUCUGCAAUUUUUACUAGGUAACGAAUUACUCAUGCCUGUGGCAUUCCCAGUAAGCUCGAUUUUACGGGCAGAGAAAUACUCCUCCUAUGUUGAAGCUUCAGUUUUGGGAAAGAUUAUAUAGUGGGAGUCAUCUGAAUUGCAUCGAGAUAAUGCCAACCUAUUCCCUUCUACAACGGUUCUAGAGCAACUAGCAGGUUCCUACAACUUAGCCUAAUGCACAAAGUCCGGAAUCAGAUUCCGGAUGUAAUAUGCUUAAUGGCAGCUAGGUUAUAUGUGAAACUGCAUAUGUUUUGCUAGACAAUAUGGAGGGUUAGUGUGCUGUCCUCAGGAGAAGGCUUGGACUUCCGCAAAUUUGAAGCAAUUUUCACAUUGUCAAAUGUGAUUAUUCUUUUCUUUAGGAGGGCUUUAUCUUACAAAGAGUCUGAAGGGGUGGGUGCACUUCCAAGUGCAUUGCAGCCAUAUCUUUGUCAUCAUGCGCCCAAGCACGGAAUAGAGCAUUGGAUUGCGAUUCUACUGCACACUUGGAAUAAUAGGUGUAUUUGUUUGAGGGAAGCAAUUUUUUAGAUUAAUCUGGCAGAUAACCUUAGAUAAUCUGGCAGAUGACCUUUUCAGCAUCACCGUCUCUUUUAUAAAUUUGCAGAACUUUGUAGGUUGUAGCUUAUAGAGUAUUAUGCAAAUGUCUUCAUCUAUUUUCCGGUGCAAGUCACAAUUUCAAUUUUUGAAUUUUAAAAGUACAUUACUGUGCUAGGCAAUGUGUUUCCAAGUUGGUUUUGGGAAAUAGGAAAGGUUGGAGCGUA